CAGCAGCCGCGGGAAUACGUAGGGUGAAAGCGUUAAUCGGAAUUACUGGGCGUAAAGCGUGCGCAGGCGGUUUUGUAAGACAGAGGUGAAAUCCCCGGGCUCAACCUGGGAACUGCCUUUGUGACUGCAAGGCUAGAGUACGGCAGAGGGGGAUGGAAUUCCGCGUGUAGCAGUGAAAUGCGUAGAUAUGCGGAGGAACACCGAUGGCGAAGGCAAUCCCCUGGGCCUGUACUGACGCUCAUGCACGAAAGCGUGGGGAGCAAACAGGAUUAGAUACCCCUGUAGUCCCUGUCUCUUAUAC
rnacentral:rRNA from 1 species